UACGGGGGGUGCGAGCGUUGUCCGGAAUCACUGGGCGUAAAGGGCGCGUAGGUGGCCUGAUAAGGGUGUGGUGAAAGUCCGGGGCUCAACCCCGGAUCUGCCGUGCCGACUGUUGGGCUGGAGUACUGUAGGGGCAGGCGGAAUUCCGGGUGUAGCGGUGGAAUGCGUAGAGAUCCGGAGGAAGACCGGUGGCGAAGGCGGUCUGCUGGGCAGUAGCUGACACUGAGGCGCGACAGCGUGGGGAGCAAACAGG
rnacentral:rRNA from 1 species